GACGAACGCUGGCGGCGUGCCUAAUACAUGCAAGUGGGACGCAAGAGAACACACUGUGCUUGCACACCGUGUUUUCUUGAGUCGCGAACGGGUGAGUAACGCGUAGGUAACCUUCCUAUUAGCGGGGGAUAACUAUUGGAAACGAUAGCUAAUACCGCAUAAUAUUAAUUAUUGCAUGAUAAUUGAUUGAAAUAUGCAAGCGCAUCACUAGUAGAUGGACCUGCGUUGUAUUAGCUAGUUGGUAAGGUAAGAGCUUACCAAGGCGACGAUACAUAGCCGACCUGAGAGGGUGAUCGGCCACACUGGGACUGAGACACGGCCCAGACUCCUACGGGAGGCAGCAGUAGGGAAUCUUCGGCAAUGGACGAAAGUCUGACCGAGCAACGCCGCGUGAGUGAAGAAGGUUUUCGGAUCGUAAAGCUCUGUUGUAAGUCAAGAACGUGUGUGAGAGUGGAAAGUUCACACAGUGACGGAGCUACCAGAAAG
rnacentral:rRNA from 1 species